rnacentral:rRNA from 1 species
CCUACGGGAGGCAGCAGUAAGGAAUACUGGUCAAUGGACGAAAGUCUGAACCAGCCAUGCCGCGUGGAGGAUGAAUGCCCUCUGGGUUGUAAACUUCUUUUAUUUGGGACGAAACACUUCUUUUCUAAGGGGCUUGACGGUACCAGAUGAAUAAGCACCGGCUAACUCCGUGCCAGCAGCCGCGGUAAUACGGAGGGUGCAAGCGUUAUCCGGAUUCACUGGGUUUAAAGGGUGCGUAGGCGGACAUGUAAGUCUGUGGUGAAAUCUCCGAGCUUAACUCGGAAACUGCCGUGGAUACUAUAUGUCUUGAAUGUUGUGGAGGUUAGCGGAAUAUGUCAUGUAGCGGUGAAAUGCUUAGAUAUGACAUAGAACACCGAUUGCGAAGGCAGCUGGCUACACAACUAUUGACGCUGAGGCACGAAAGCGUGGGGAUCAAACAGGAUUAGAUACCCUGGUAGUCCACGCCCUAAACGAUGAUUACUCGACAUUUGCGAUAUACAGUAAGUGUCUGAGCGAAAGCAUUAAGUAAUCCACCUGGGAAGUACGACCGCAAGGUUGAAACUCAAAUGAAUUGAAUUGACGG